CUGCUCAAUGCUUAAAUGUAAAUGGCCGCGGUAUUCUGACCGUGCUAAGGUAGCAUAAUCAUUUGUCUCUUGAUUAGAGGCUGGUAUGAAUGGCAAGACGAGGAGGUAACUGUCUCUUUUGUGAUAAUCGAAUUUCACUUCUGGGUGAAAAGGCUCAGAUAAAUUUGGAGGACGAUCAGACCCUAAAGAGCUUAAAUUUCUAUAGUGACUGUCUUAUUGGCUGUAAUACGAGGUUACUUGAAAGAUUUUAGUUGGGGCGACGAAGAGAAUUAAAUAACACUCUUUUUUAAGACCACUUAUAAGUGAACAAUUGAUCCCCCAUGCGGGAUUAGAAGACUAAGUUACCUUAGGGAUAACAGCGUAAUAUUCUUGGAGAGUUCUUAUCGAUAAGAAAGUUUGCGACCUCGAUGUUGGAUUAAGAAAUUAGUGAGGUGCAGAAGCUUCACUGGAAAGUCUGUUCGACUUUUAAUCUCUUACGUGAUCUGAGUUCA
rnacentral:rRNA from 1 species